ensembl:lncRNA
CAAGAGGAAGCAGAAGGGAUGACAUUAAGCCAGCGUGACAGGCCCACGUCUGCCUGUCGCACCAGGGACUCAGCAACAACUGUCUCUCAAAACUCCAUUUGCACCCUUCCAACAAGCAGGUCCAGCCCCCCUGCUGAUGGCCACCUCCUUUGUUUGAUGAAGUCUGUGGUGAGCAUGCAGCAGUUUGCAAUCUAGCUAUCAAGAGGAGCUCCAGAAGUGACCAGCAGAGCCUCAGAGCGAUGCAGUGCAGGGAACAACUUCCGGACUCAGUUUAGCGUCAGGCUGUAUCCUUGGGCUUAGAACUACUAGCUGGCAUACCACCAGCCCUCAGUAAAUAUUCACCGAGUGAGCAAAUGAGUUGGACAGCUCAAAUUCCUUCCUGCCCCAGAAGCUCCCGGUACAGGAGACAGGACAAACCUGUGUUGCUUCUCCAGCUCUGUCACCAGCUCAUCCCUGCGGCAGCGUUGGGGGGUGGGAUGGCCUGUAAACGUUUUGCUGAACUCUUAUUAAAUAUUUCCCCCUUUCCCG